GAACGCGAAGAACCUUACCUGGGCUUGACAUACAUCAGAUUGGGCUAGAGAUAGUUCGUCCCUUUGUGGUUGGUGUACAGGUGGUGCAUGGUUGUCGUCAGCUCGUGUCGUGAGAUGUUGGGUUAAGUCCCGCAACGAGCGCAACCCUUGUCUUAUGUUGCCAGCAUUUGGUUGGGGACUCAUGAGAGACUGCCGGGGUUAACUCGGAGGAAGGUGGGGAUGACGUCAAAUCAUCAUGCCCCUUAUGUCCAGGGCUUCACACAUGCUACAAUGGUCGGUACAACGCGCUGCGACACUGUGAGGUGGAGCGAAUCGCUGAAAGCCGGCCUUAGUUCGGAUUGGGGUCUGCAACUCGACCCCAUGAAGUCGGAGUCGCUAGUAAUCGCAGAUCAGCAAUGCUGCGGUGAAUACGUUCCCGGGUCUUGUACACACC
rnacentral:rRNA from 1 species